UCAUCCCUCUUUGCGACCAGCAUGGAACAGGCAGAUGCAGAGUGAUUUUAGUGCUUCUUUUAAAUGCAGGGAGAGAUAGUGAUCAGUGGUUUAAUGCACGUCACAUGAUAGUUUCACAAUCACCCCUGAUGAACCUCUUUCAAUACAGCAUGCAGUGCUGCACACCACAGUUUAAAAAUGAACAAACUUGCAAUGCUUCAAGGCUAUCUUUUUCUUGCCCACUGGUUUUCCAUAGGGGCUAUUGGAGAAAUAAAUAUCAUCCAGUCUCCUCCUUAUAUAAGUGCUACAGAGGGAGAAUCCGUUCAGAUGAAUUGCUCCUGGAAAACACAUGAGAAAAUUGAGCAAAUGCGAGUGGAAUGGUGGAAGAAUCAAUCAUUAAUUAUAUCUUUGCAUUAUCAAGAAAUCUCAUCAGACACCAGAGGAAAGAAUGCUUCUUAUACACUUGUAAUAAAAGCAAACAAUACAUGUGCUGAGUUGAGAAUUGCCAACCUCACCUCAAAUCAUACAGGAACAUACUAUUGCAGAGCACAAGUUGAAAUACCCAGACUAAUAAGAGGAGACGGCAAUGGAACAGUGCUGUGUGUACACGAAGUGAAGAGUAACAGCUCCUUGGGUUCAGGCACUGUUGUAGGUGUUGUUCUCGCAGUGUUGUUUGUGCUGAUUAUGAUUGCCCUUCUGUGGAACUGGAAAAUACUGAUGUCAAAAGGAGAAGCCCGAGAUGAAGGGGAUACUGCUGCAGUUUAUGAAAGCAUUUUAGAGAUGAAGGCAAUAAAGGAGCCACAGGAGCCACAGGACAUAGAGUCGAAUUCCUCCUCCUCCCGGGGGUCCACACAAUGGGCUGAGAUUGAGGUCUAUGAAUCAUGUGACUAUUUUGCUGUGAAGAGAAAUGAAUAGGUGGAUGUCAGAUGAGGGCCAUGGUCGGACUGUCAACACUUCUCACUUGCAUAGACAAAACAGCCAAAGGAGAACUUGUAUCUAAUUAAAACAUAUUAAUGGUUCUUUCUAUAGCAUUUCAAUAGCCUGUGAAUGAUAUGUAUGGACACUGAAAACCAAAUAUUGGGAUUUCAAGAAUCCUUAAUAAAUGAAAUGCAUUAAAUGAAUAUUACAUUAAGCAGUAAGAAACAAGCCACAAACCAACACAAAGUACCAGUACAUUAUUCAGUGCACUUGGUGUUGGAGUGACACAUGGGACCAAUACUACAGUUGGUAAAAAAAAAAAAAAAGUUAAACUUGUAAAUGCAUUUGAAAAUAAAGCCAUACAAAAAUGAUGCUGUCUUUAUCUCCUCUCAUGUAACUGUAAGGGCAGCAGUGUGGAGUAGUGGUUAGGGCUCUGGACUCUUGACCGGAGGGUCGUGGGUUCAAUCCCAAGUGGGAGACACUGCUGCUGUACUCUUGAGCAAGGUACUUUACCUAGAUUGCUCCAGUAAAAACCCAACUGUAUAAAUGGGUAAUUGUAUGUAAAAAUAAUGAUAUAGCUGUAUAAUGUGAUAUCUUGUAACAAUUGUUACAAGAUAAGAAAUAAAUAAUAAAUGUGAUGUGUGAUGAACAUAGAAGCCAAAUUUCUUGUAAAUUGUAUGAACAGAUGGGCUUCCACUAUGUGCCUACUUUGAAUUUGAACAGUUCUUAAUUAUCUGUUAAUUAUUGAAAUGGACAGAUCUGACAUGAAAUUAUGUGUACAUUCUUUUUUAUUUUUUUUUGUGGCUGCCAGGUUCCUAAAUGCAGUGUAACAGGUAGUGCGUUUGCUGUAUUUAUUUUUAAAUGCUAAGAAAAUAUUAAUAUUUACACUGUUCUUUCAGAAAUGGGAAUUUUCACAACUGCACAUUACAAUGGGCACAUUUCUCAGAAAUUGUGAAAUCCUUGAUAACCAUGAUAGAAAAAAAACAGCAUUAUAACACCUCAUUGUGACAAGAACAACCACAAUCUGACCACAUCAUGCUGUGCAUGCUGCGGAGCUAAACUGCAUGGUAGUACUUUUCUUCUGCUGGUUUGUGGCAUUUAAAGGCCACAAAUCUACACAAUUAUU